rnacentral:rRNA from 1 species
GUGACCUACGGGAGGCAGCAGUGAGGAAUAUUGGUCAAUGGGCGGAAGCCUGGACCAGCCAAGUCGCGUGAGGGAAUAAGGCCCUACGGGUCGUAAACCUCUUUUGCCGGGGAGCAAGGGCCGGGACGCGUCCCGGCCCGGAGAGUACCCGGAGAAAAAGCAUCGGCUAACUCCGUGCCAGCAGCCGCGGUAAUACGGAGGAUGCGAGCGUUAUCCGGAUUUAUUGGGUUUAAAGGGUGCGUAGGCGGGCUUUUAAGUCAGCGGUAGAAAAUCGGGGCUCAAUCCCGUCCGGCCGCUGUAACUGG